AUGUGGGAGCAUCUCUGUCAUAGUCUGCUCAAAGAUUAGCUGUAGUGAGAUUUGAAUCACAGAUAUUGUCAAGACUGAAGCUAUUAUUUUGUAGACCUGAAGAAUGAUGCAAUGGUGAAUUAAUAGAGAAACUGAAGCCAGACAAAAGAUUAAGUUUCAACAAUUCAGCAAAGCUAGCUUAUAUUAAACAUCAUUUGUUAAAGUGGCCAUUGUGAAUAAAAGUGGUUGUGAUCAUGAUGAACCAGAGAGGAAUUAUCACAUGAAUUUGAAACUCUCUUUAUGGCAAUUAUAGAGAGAUAGCAGCAAACAAAGGACAGACACAUUUGGGCUCAGAAACACCUUAAGUGUUCAUUGGGGGCUGAACUAUGAAUCAAGUUUGGCAUAGUUAAGCUUUCUUUGUGUUUAACAAAGAACUAAAACCUCAGUCAGAGAGAACAGGUAUCAUGAAGAUGGUUAUCAACUUUCUUUGUUAUCUCAAACUUUCUGCUUCAGACGUUCACAUAGAAGGAGGUUUUUAAUGCAUUAUGUGACAGGUUGUUUUAAUAGAGAACAACAAGGAAUAUACACAUUUAAGUUUAGUUAAAAAGCACUGCUACUGCAAAUGGUGCAAUACAGGAAUGCUUGUAGAAAACUGGUAAAUGUGCAUUAGUAAAUGCAUCUUACUAUUCUGCUUAUUUCUAACUGACAGAGCUUCUUAACUUUAAACAUCAUAUGUUUAAACAUAUUGUACUGAAGUGAAUGUAGGUCUGACACAUGUAGGUCGGACACUGUCCCAAUGCAGGAAAUCACUUAAAUUUUUGGCCAAAUCAAAUCGAAAUUAAUGAUACUGACUGAAUAUUCUCUGUAAUAAAUGUCAAUAGAAUAAUACAUUUUAAAAUCUCUGCUCUGUGAGAUGCCGUACCAGCAAUGUAAACUGUCAUGGCAGCCAAUCAAAACCAAACAGAAAAACAUAUUUAUGUUAUUUCCACAUCACCAGCUGAAUACAUGUCACGUUCCAAUGGAAACGCAAUGCAUAGAGUGUGAUACUGUAACUACACAGCUUCACUCAGUGGGAUUAGUAACAUACAGUUCAACAAGUUUACAAAUACAACAUAUUUGUAUUUCUAUGGAAAACAUCCUGUAUUGUACCGGUACCAAAAAUCAAAUGUCUGGCUGAACUAAAUGACUACAGACCUAUUGCCCUUACCUCACACAGCAUGAAAACUCUGGAGCGGUUGAUUCUACGCCUACUGAGGCUUGAGGUCAAAGACAAACUCGAUUCCCUGCAGUUUGCAUACAAAGAACACAUUGGAGUAGAUGAUGCCAUCCUCUUCAUGCUUCACCGUGCUCUGUCUCAUCUGGAGGAACCUGGAGUUUAUGUGAGAAGUUCUCAAGUUCUUUGAUUUUUCAAAUGCAUUCAACUCCAUCCAACCCACCAAGACAAGCUCACAGAGAUGGAAGUGGAUCCUUCCUGUGUUUCUUGGAUCAUAGAUUACCUGACAGGAAGGCCACAGUUUGUCAGGCUGGGGAACUGUGUUUCUGGGACAUUAAUGAGCAGUACUGGGGCUCCACAAGGAACAGUCCUGGCUCCAUUCCUGUUCACACUGUAUACAUCAGACUUCAAAUACAGCUCUGAGUUCUGCCACAUUCAGAAAUACUCUGAUGACACUGCUAUCGAGGCAUGUAUCAGAAAUGGACAUGAAGCCGAAUACAGGGAUCUGACAAGUGCCUUCAGUGACUGGAGUCACAAAAACUGCCUGCUACUCAGCACCUCAUAGUUCAUAGAUUUCCGCAGAUCCAAACCCCUUUUUCAGCCAGUGAACACUUGUGGCGUGGACAUCGAGGUGGUGACAUUGUAUAAAUAUUUAGGUGUCCACCUUGAUAAGUUGGAAUGGUCUAAAAACAUAGACUUAAUCUACAAAAAGGGCCACAGCUGACUAUCAGGAAACUUCGAUCAUUAGACAUCUGCAGUAAGAUGCUGCAGAUGUUUUAUCAGUCUGUGGUAGCAAGUGUCCUGUUUUAUGCUGCAGUCUGCUGGGGAGGCAGUAUAAAAAACAAGAAUGGAAGGCGUAUGAACAAACUGAUUACAGUUUUUCUCAAUUGAUAAGACACUAAAUUCCAUUCACUGCACAUAGCCACCAACUGACUGCACACAUUUCUCAAAAACAGGACUCUGCUGUCAAAAUUUUGGACACUUUUCAUGGUUUGCACACAGUUUCCAGAACUCUUGCACUCUUUUUGCAAAAGACUGAACAUUUUUUUUGCUCAUUUGAAGACACUUUUUCACUCAUAGCACACAUUUUUCAAAAAGUGAACACUAGGAAGCAGAAGUGGGACACUGUUCCAACACUGCUGUCACAAUUAAGACACAACAGGUCAAAACUGAAAACACUUUUGCCAAUAAACUGCUCACUAUAAAACCUGCUGGGAAACAGAAUUAGCUGUUCAGAAUGGAUGUCAGAGGAGCAAGAGGUCAUGUUGGAAGGAGAGGACGUGGACGACCCAGACCACGGCCAGAACCAGAACCAGAACCUGGACCUGCCCAUGCACCUGGUCCUGGACCACUUUACAUGAGAGUUUUUCAGUUGGAUUCUGAUGAUACACAUGAAUACAUCUAUGUGGAUGAGGCUGGUUUCAACCUGGCCAAGAGAAGGAGAAGAGGGAGGAACAUCAUUGGACAAUGGGCUAUAGUCAAUGUCCCAGGUCAGCAUGGGGGCAACAUAACCCUCUGUGCUGCAAUAAGCAAUCUUGGAGUAAAUGACCGUCAUGCAGUUCUGGGCCCAUAAAACACCCAGCAUUUGUUGACUUUCCUAGAUGGACUUAGAGGGCCUACUGACACGGGUGCAGCAGGGCAUUUGGCAAGAAGACAAGUUUUUUGUUUCUGUCUUGGACAAUCUUAGUUUUCAUAGAGGACUAUUGAUUCGGGAAUGGUUCAGUAUGAACCCUCAAGUUAUUGUGUUUUUUCUGCUGCCAUAUUCUCCCUUUCUGAAUCCUAUAGAAGAAUUCUUCUCUACAUGGAGGUGGAAGGUAUAUGAGCGGCAGCCAUACUUUGGGGAAAUCUCUUGCAAUCAAUGGUCUUGACAUGUGGUGAUGUUUCUGUUGAUGCAUGUCAGGCUGGAUCAGACACAUUAGCUCUUUCUUUCCAGAGAAAACAUAGCUUGUGAUGUUGAUGAGGUCCUGUGGCCUGACCAGGCUCAAAGAAUUGAUGCAGACUUGGUGUAAAUAUUUGCAUACUGUACUGUGUACAAUACAGUUCUGUAUUUUUUUCUCUAACAUUAUUUUUAUUUUGUAUUGUACAAUCAAGCACUGCAAUGACCCCUCUGAUUAAUUUAUAGGAUGCAUUUGUGUUUAAGUUGUCAUUUUUGAGAACUGUAUCAUUUUUUUUACACUUCAUGUGAAAACACAGUGGGAGAGGAGUAUUUUGUAUUUAGCAGUGCAGUGUCCUAGUUUUACUUCAUGUGUCUUAAUUUUGAAAACAAAGACCAGAUUUUGACAAUAAAGUGCACUUUUGACACAA